GACGAACGCUGGCGGCGUGCUUAACACAUGCAAGUCGAACGAAGUGGCGAACGGGUGAGUAACGCGUAAUCAACCUGCCCUUCAGAGGGGGACAACAGUUGGAAACGACUGCUAAUACCGCAUACUGAAGGUGGGGCUUGCGUCUGAUUAGCUAGUUGGAGGGGUAACGGCCCACCAAGGCGAUGAUCAGUAACAGGUCUGAGAGGAUGAACGGCAAAAUUGGGACGUAGAACAGGCCCAGACUCCUACGGGAGGCAGCAGUGGGGAAUCUUCCGCAAUGGACGAAAGUCUGAAGGAGCAAAGCCGCGUGAGUGAUGACGGCCUUCGGGCUGUAAAGCUCUGUUAAUCGGGACGCGGUACCGGAAUAGAAAGCCACGGCUAACGACGUGCCAGCAGCCGCGGUAAUAC
rnacentral:rRNA from 1 species